rnacentral:lncRNA from 1 species
GAAAGGGUGUGGUUGUUGGGAACUUGAACUGGAAUGUAAAACUAUUCAUGGCAUUCUUCAAUGUAAAAGUUUUGAUUUCAUGUAUUUGUUGAAACCAAGCUUUCCGUAACUUUCUUCAUAUUGCAGUCUCCAACAACAUAUGUUAUUCCUGCAAGCCACAGGCACAAUAAGAUGAUUGACAUAUUUGCAUCUGCGACUAAGUAAUUCGACAUUUCAUGAGAAUAAAUUAUUCAAUUUAAGUCUGAUAAAAUAGAUCACAGGUAGAUGCAUGACCAAUAGUUGGUAUUGUUUCGGUUUUGGAGGGACCGAGAAUGCAUGGCCACAGUAAGCAGUUCGCUGAGGAGUUCCCGAAGAUGGAACUUCAAUGUGUCAAUUUGGCGGUUCGAGUCUAUUGCCAAUUGGCUAACUUCAGCUUGUUCAGAACAGAUGCAAGCUUCUAUACUAGUAAACCAUCAAUAAGAUAUCAGAUUCAAGGUACUGUAAUGACUUCACAGUUUCUCUGAAAAAGAAAGGAUAAAGUGGCUAUCAAAUCUUAAGCUACAACUUCAUUCAAAAGGUUCCUAGUUAAAGUGGCAAUAUAAAGAAAGAUGGGUUGAAUCCCAGCAUUUCAGUGAAUCUAAAGACUGGCAAUUUGCUGCUACUGUUAGUAAAGACACUUGCUCAAAUGGUAUUCAAUAAGACGUCCCUGGAAACUGCAAAUGAUGAUACAACCAAAUCAAGAAAAAGCUUCAAGUGAGUAGCUUCAAGAAAAACCUUUGGACCAUCUCAUAAUAUUCAUCGCUUGUAUACCCCCAUUCCCACAGCUUGAGGGAACAGAACAUUGUCCUUACUACGUAAGAAAAUUAAGCCAUCAAAGAUGGAGAGUUCAUCAUCCCAUCUGACGUUUAAGUAGUCGUAUAAAUUGUUCCAUGAAUUCAGAGAUCUGGUUGUUAAGAAAAACUAGGCAACUAGUAACAAAUAGAAUAUUUGAGGUGGUCAAAAUUUUAUGACGCUAAAAUACAACAUUGACUUCUACUCUCUGAUUCUCUUAUCUAAAACAAAAUUUGUUGGGAAUCACAAGAUCAAUGAUCUGCUUGCUAAUCCUAUGGCUUCAAUUACCAUGAUGCGACGGAAAGAGAAGAAAAUCAAGAAACUGAUACAUAUAUAAAGCAUCAAAACUCAAAAUAAAGAAUACCAAGAAUCCAGAAAAAAACUUCAAUCAGAGCAGAAGGGCCCUUACAUCAAUAAAAACAAUUCAAGGAACUCAACAGUUUAUAAACACAAAGAUCCCUACCCACCGAGAUAAUCAAUGCAACAUACCUGGGUGCAAGGGAAACCCAGGAAGAAAAAUCACAUCAGCAGCCAGAAUAAAGCAGGUUUAAGAUCUGUCCAUGUCCUCACAUGUCAAAGGUUGAUUAUUUUCACUCGGUGUUUAGAAAUGGAGUUGUUGGUAACAUUGGCACCUUGCAAAUAAAGAGUUAUGCCGCUGGAUUUUAGGAUUUUUGGAUGGUUCAAUUCAGCAUCCAUUUGUCACGAAUUGGGAUUAGAGAGAAAGAGAGAGAAAAAGGGUAUUGGAGGAUUAAUUGUGAAAUGUGUAUCAUUAAUGAUGAUUGAUUAUUUUUAGGAGGUAAAUGAAAGGAAUGAUGGUUUCCCAUCGUUUGUUUUAGAGUGCUGCUAAAGUUUUGAUUUCUCAUUACCUAAAAAUUUC